rnacentral:lncRNA from 1 species
GGGUGGAAGCGCGCCGCGCCCUCCAUCUUGGUGCCCCGCGAGCGGAGUUGGCUGGAGGGGCGCGAGCUCUGGGGACCUUCGUAGCGAGGUGUGGCUGAGCAAGCUACCAACUCCCACUAGCACCAGCACCGGCCAUUGGCAGCAACCUAAGCGACUAGGCCCUUGCCAUGGUGUUGAAGGGGGGAAGUUUGGGAAUGGUCCUGCAGGCCCCUUUCCCCCCAAUGUAGUAGUGGCCCCUCUGCGUCUACCGCCUCUGACCUGUGCGGACCAAAAGAGGAUAUCCUUCCUGAAUGGGCUUUGGGAAAGGUUGGCCAAUUGCUUGGCCCACUUUCAGUAAAGUGGCUUGAUCGUAUUUUUCUACUUCUCUUGGUCCUGACUUGCUCACCGGCUUGUCUUGUGUCUUGUGUGUAUUUUGUACCCAAGACCCUCUCUGGAAGUAGGCAGGUGUAAGUAAAGUUCAAGGCAAAUAAAUACAAGAGUUUGCCU